AGUGAACGCUGGCGGUAGGCCUAACACAUGCAAGUCGAACGGCAGCACAGUAAGAGCUUGCUCUUACGGGUGGCGAGUGGCGGACGGGUGAGGAAUACAUCGGAAUCUACUUUUUCGUGGGGGAUAACGUAGGGAAACUUACGCUAAUACCGCAUACGACCUACGGGCGAAAGCAGGGGAUCUUCGGACCUUGCGCGAUUGAAUAAGCCGAUGUCGGAUUAGCUAGUUGGCGGGGUAAAGGCCCACCAAGGCGACGAUCCGUAGCUGGUCUGAGAGGAUGAUCAGCCACACUGGAACUGAGACACGGCCCAGACUCCUACGGGAGGAAGCAGUGGGGAAUAUUGGACAAUGGGCGCAAGCCUGAUCCAGCCAUACCGCGUGGGUGAAGAAGGCCUUCGGGUUGUAAAGCCCUUUUGUUGGGAAACAAAAGCAGCAGGUUAAUACCCCGCUGUUCUGACGGUACCCAAAGAAUAAGCACCGGCUAACUUCGUG
rnacentral:rRNA from 1 species